rnacentral:tRNA from 1 species
GGUGAAAUGGCCGAGUGGUCGAAGGCACCCGCUUGGAAAGCGGCAGGUCGCGCGAGCGGCCCGCAGGUUCGAAUCCUGCUUUCACCGCCA